rnacentral:rRNA from 1 species
ACAUUGACCCUGGGCACCGCAUGUGUAGCAUAGGUGGGAGGCGUUGAACCGGGGCCGCUAGGUCUCGGGGAGCCGACGUUGAAAUACCACCCUUGCGUUGCUUGGGGCCUAAUCUCGGACGACGGGAAACAGUGUCUGGUGGGUAGUUUGACUGGGGUGGUCGCCUCCAAAAGUGUAUCGGAGGCUUUCAAAGGUCCGCUCAAUCCGCUUGGUAACCGGAUGCAGAGCGCAAUAGCAGAAGCGGGCUUGACUGUGAGGCGUACAGGCCGAGCAGGGUCGAAAGACGGAUAUAGUGAUCCGGUGGUUCCGCAUGGAAGGGCCAUCGCUCAAAGGAUAAAAGGUACGCCGGGGAUAACAGGCUGAUCUCCCCCAAGAGCUCAUAUCGACGGGGAGGUUUGGCACCUCGAUGUCGGCUCGUCACGUCCUGGGGCUGGAGAAGGUCCCAAGGGUUCGGCUGUUCGCCGAUUAAAGUGGCACGCGAGCUGGGUUCAGAACGUCGUGAGACAGUUCGGUCCCUAUCUGUGGCGGGCGUUGGAAUGUUGACAGGACCUGACCUUAGUACGAGAGGACCGGGUUGGACCAGCCGCUGGUGUACCAGUUGUGCCGCCAGGUGCAGCGCUGGGUAGCUACGCUGGGUCGAGAUAAGCGCUGAAAGCAUCUAAGUGCGAAACUCACCUGAAGAUGAGCAUUCCGUUCAAGAAGGUCCGUGGUAGAUCACCACGUCGAUAGGCCGCAGGUCUUAAGCCGGAGACGGCCAGCCGAGCGGUACUAAUGAACCGAACGCUUCCGAAU